GAUGAACGCUGGCGGCGUGCCUAAUACAUGCAAGUCGAGCGAAUGGAUUAAGAGCUUGCUCUUAUGAAGUUAGCGGCGGACGGGUGAGUAACACGUGGGUAACCUGCCCAUAAGACUGGGAUAACUCCGGGAAACCGGGGCUAAUACCGGAUAAUAUUUUGAACUGCAUGGUUCAAAAUUGAAAGGCGGCUUCGGCUGUCACUUAUGGAUGGACCCGCGUCGCAUUAGCUAGUUGGUGAGGUAACGGCUCACAAAGGCAACGAUGCGUAGCCGACCUGAGAGGGUGAUCGGCACACACUGGGACUGAGACACGGCCCAGACUCCUACGGGAGGCAGCAGUAGGGAAUCUUCCGCAAUGGACGAAAGUCUGACGGAGCAACGCCGCGUGAGUGAUGAAGGCUUUCGGGUCGUAAAACUCUGUUGUUAGGGAAGAACAAGUGCUAGUUGAAUAAGCUGGCACCUUGACGGUACCUAACCAGAAAGCCACGGCUAACUACGUGCCAGCAGCCGCCGUAA
rnacentral:rRNA from 1 species